rnacentral:rRNA from 1 species
AUUGAACGCUGGCGGCAGGCCUAACACAUGCAAGUCGAACGAGUGGCGGACGGGUGAGUAAUGUCUGGGAAACUGCAUGAUGGAGGGGGAUAACUACUGGAAACGGUAGCUAAUACCGCAUACUAUCAGAUGUGCCCAGAUGGGAUUAGCUAGUAGGUGGGGUAAUGGCGCACCUAGGCGACGAUCCCUAGCUGGUCUGAGAGGAUGAACAGCCACACUGGAACUGAGACACAGUCCAGACUCCUACGAGAGGCAGCAGUGGGGAAUAUUGCACAAUGGGCGCAAGCCUGAUGCAGCCAUGCCGCGUGUGUGAAGAAGGCCUUCGGGUUGUAAAGCACUUUCAGCGAGGAGGCGUUACUCGCAGAAGAAGCACCGGCUAACUCCGUGCCAGCCGCCGCGGUAAUAC